rnacentral:rRNA from 1 species
AGAAUCAACGCUGGCGGCGUGCCUAACACAUGCAAGUCGCACGAGAAAGGGGCUUCGGCCCUGAGUAAAGUGGCGCACGGGUGAGUAACACGUGAAUUAUCUACCUCCGAGUGGGGAAUAACUGAGAGAAAUCUUAGCUAAUACCGCGUAACACUCACGAGUCAAAGCAGCAAUGCGCUUGGAGAGGAGUUCGCGGCAGAUUAGCUAGUUGGCGGGUAAUGGCCCACCAAGGCGAUGAUCUGUA